rnacentral:rRNA from 1 species
UACAGAGGGGGCGAGCGUUAUUCGGAAUUAUUGGGCGUAAAGGGCGCGUAGGCGGCUUGACAAGUCCCGGGUGAAAUCCCUCGGCUCAACCGAGGAACUGCCUUGGAAACUGUCUGCUCGAGGCCGGGAGAGGGUAGUGGAAUUCCCAGUGUAGCGGUGAAAUGCGUAGAUAUUGGGAGGAACACCGGUGGCGAAGGCGGCUACCUGGACCGGAUCUGACGCUGAUGCGCGAAAGCGUGGGGAGCAACAGG